rnacentral:rRNA from 1 species
AGAGUUUGAUCCUGGCUCAGAGUGAACGCUGGCGGCGUGCCUAAUACAUGCAAGUCGAACGAUGAAGUCCUAGCUUGCUAGGAUGGAUUAGUGGCGCACGGGUGAGUAAUAUAUAGUUAAUCUGCCCUACACAGAGGAACAACAGUUGGAAACGGCUGCUAAUACCUCAUACUCCUAUUUGACAUAAGUUAAAUAGGGAAAGUCUUUUCGGUGUAGGAUGAGACUAUAUCGUAUCAGCUAGUUGGUAAGGUAAUGGCUUACCAAGGCUAUGACGCGUAACUGGUCUGAGAGGAUGAUCAGUCACAUUGGAACUGAGACACGGUCCAAACUCCUACGGGAGGCAGCAGUAAGGAAUAUUGCGCAAUGGGGGAAACCCUGACGCAGCAACGCCGCGUGGAGGAUGACACUUUUCGGAGCGUAAACUCCUUUUAUCAGGAAAGAAUAAUGACGGUACCUGAUGAAUAAGCACCGGCUAACUCCGUGCCAGCAGCCGCGGUAAUACGGGGGGUGCAAGCGUUACUCGGAAUCACUGGGCGUAAAGGACGCGUAGGCGGAUUAUCAAGUCUUUUGUGAAAUCUAGUGGCUUAACCACUAAACUGCUUAGGAAACUGAUAGUCUAGAGUAGGGGAGAGGUAGAUGGAAUUCUUGGUGUAGGGGUAAAAUCCGUAGAGAUCAAGAAGAAUACCCAUUGCGAAAGCGAUCUGCUGGAACCUAACUGACGCUGAGGCGUGAAAGCGUGGGUAGCAAACAGGAUUAGAUACCCUGGUAGUCCACGCCCUAAACGAUGUAUACUAGUUGUUGCUUUGCUAGUCAAGGCAGUAAUGCAGCUAACGCAUUAAGUAUACCGCCUGGGGAGUACGGUCGCAAGAUUAAAACUCAAAGGAAUAGACGGGGACCCGCACAAGCGGUGGAGCAUGUGGUUUAAUUCGAAGAUACGCGAAGAACCUUACCUGGACUUGACAUCCUAAAAACAUCUAAGAGAUUAGAAAGUGCUAGUUUACUAGAAUUUAGUGACAGGUGCUGCACGGCUGUCGUCAGCUCGUGUCGUGAGAUGUUGGGUUAAGUCCCGCAACGAGCGCAACC